AGGGCUGGAGCAGCCUCUGCCCUGGAGCCAGGCUGAGAGAGCUGGGCUGGGUCAGCCUGGAGAAGCAAAGGUUCCUUAAGGGGAGACCUUAGAGCAGCUCCAGUGCCUGAAGGGGCUGCAGGAAACCUGGAGAGGGGCUUUGGACAAGGGUUUGUAGGGACAGGCCAAGGGGAAUGGCUUUAACCUGCCCGAGGGGAGACUGAGAUGAGCUCUUAGGCAGAAGCUCUUCCCUGUGAGGGUGCUGAGGCGCUGGCACAGGGUGCCCAGAGAAGCUGUGGCUGCCCCAUCCCUGGGUUACUGUCACACGCUGCUCCUGCUGACUGUACUGGAGGCAGACAAAUCCCUUCUUUAGUGAUGGGAAAACAGUAAUUAGUGUAUGUUUCCUCUUCUCUUGCACCCCAGGGUCACUCUGCUGAGCACUAGCACAAUGUUAGGACUACCUUUGGCAUCUCUGUGUUCUCUUCUGCGUCCUGAACGGCAGUAUUCACUGACACAUGCUGCUUCUCUGAUUUAUGAAUCAAGAUAUAUUUCACCAGAGAGAAUGAGUGCCCGGGGGAGGAGAGUAGGGCUUUGAUCUGACUGUGCUUUUGAAAUGUGACUGGAAAAUCAGAAUUAGAUGGUAAUCUCUUUGGGGCAGGGACAUCUUUGUUUGCCCUGUACAGUGCCUACUGUGCUUUGGGUGCCAUGUUAUCGACAGCAGAGGUUGAGUAAUGAGUGAUGCUCCCAAACUGUAUCUGUUGACCCAGCCAUUGAGCAGCUGUUCUCAUCCUAUAAUUAAUAGCGUGCUUUGAUUUCUUUUCCCUGCUUCUCAUCUCUGUAGUAACUGGACUUUGCUGGGCUCUUGGAUCGUAGGUGGGAUGGAUCUGCUGCCCAGCCUUUGACUGGGGUUUUAUGCUGUGGGCAGCUCUGCAUGUGCUAUGUGAGCUCAUCCAUCCUGGUGGGACACUGGCACAGGCUGCCCAGAGAAGCUUGGUUGUUAAUUCCCUGCCCUGUAUUAAAGGUUUUCAGUGGGGACAGCGCAGCAGGUGAUGCCCUGUCUGCAUCCCUGCAUAACUGCUCUUUCCUCAGCUCCCAAAGCAGCACUGUGCAUAAUGGUUUCACCAAGCCUUUGUUGUCACUGGUACUAAAAAAUCCUGGUUUAAUUUAUAACCAUUGCAUUUGAGGGGGAAACUUGCCUUGUCAUUACAGAGAAAGAGGAAGGAAAGGAUGCUCGAGGUGUGAUUGUUGUGAUUCCUAAAUAAGUAAUGGGGUUUGAUGUUGAGGGCUUCCAUCUCCUACACUGUGUAUGUGGCUCUGCUUUGUAAGGUGAAGAUGUGCUUUCUGUGUUCUGUACCUGGUGGCUCAGACUUGAGACAGUGACUUCCAUAGUCUCAACAGUUGCGUUGUAUGGCUUUGGGAUCCAGGGCUGCCCCUCUCCAGGACACCCUGUUGCAGCGGAGAGGCUCUUCACCUUGAAGAGAGAGAAGAGGGCUUUCAGAUUGUUUGAACUGAACUGGCUGUGAAAUGCAGUCCUUGUGGAAACUCCUUAAAGAGGUUUGUUUCCCCAUCUGUCGUGGUGAGAUGCAGGAGCACUUUUGAGCAAUUCUGCUUUCCUAAGAGUAAAUUGGGGUUGAGAGAGAGGCAGAAAAGAUGCCUUUUUGAGACCCAUCAAGCUAUGAGUUAAAGCUGAGGUACACUUGGGUGAUGUCUCCAGCUCAGUUGCCUCUAGGUGCUUUGCUCUGAAAUAGGACAUGAUGUGUCUCAUUUCAGAUGGGCUACUGAGCUGCGUCCUGCAAUACUCCCCUAAUUGUCUUGAUUCUCCAGCUGCAAAGAUCCAUUAGCACAGACAGAAGUUUCUUGCCUUCCCAGCCAGGGAGAAAAAGGCAAAGGAGGUAUGGAAGGGAGGGGGGAGAGCUCAGAAGGAGACUUUGCUGGCAGAUGACUGCAGUGAAUCUCACAGCCCCAUUUAGCACAUCCAUCUUUCCAGAGUAGCUGAUGGCACAUGUGAAAUGCAGCAAGUCCUGGGGCUAUUGUGUAACUUGGGGGAUGCCUGCAGCCGCUGCUCAUAAUUAAUCAUUUAAGCACCAGUAAAAUCAAGUGACUUUCCUGACGGUACCCAAACUGCUGACCUCAAUGCAUUUCAAAAGUUCGCUGGAUGCUGAACCUCGGAUGACCCAUGGAUGGAUCUGGAAUAAUAAUUUUCAUAAUCCUCAAGUCAUUAUCUUAAGAGGGAAUGUAUUGUUCUCCUAAUUAAGUCCAUCCACACACUGUGCAGCUUCCCAUGCAAAUGCACUGUGCAUAAACUAAUUAAAAGAAAUAUACAGCCACAAGGACUUAAACUGCCUUUCAUGCAAUCUCUUUAAAUUAGAAGGAGUCUCCCUCCUCCCCCCCUCACACACACACACUCUAACAAGGGAUUCGGCACCAUAUUCAGCAGGGAAAACCACCGAGCAUUUUGGAUCAGAAUCUGGAAUUCCCCAAAAUUUAUUAGAAAGCUUUUGUUUUAUGACAUUUUUGCGAGGGCCCUGGAUGUGUAGAAGACCCAAAUUAAGUGAGAGUUAUGAUCAUUUAAUAGGAGACAGUCCCUGCCCUAAAGAGCUCACAGCCUAAACAGACAAGACAGCCAAGAGCUGGAAGAGCCUUUUUAGCAGUUAAACAGCUCAGCCAUUGAGGAGUUGAAUGACUUUUUCAAGGUCAUGCAUACAGAGCUGGGAACUGGAGGCAGACCUGGACCAGCAGUGGAUGUACCCGAGUCUCCUGCCUUUAGCAAUACACCUAAAAGAUGUGAUCUGUAGAAACUUCUUUAAUGCAACAACACUGAAGGGCAAUUUCCCAGUGGAACUGAAGGGUGUUUGGUUAACUGGGGGCUGGCUAUUGGACUGCUUGGCUGUAUUCAGUAGUUAUUUCCUGUUCUCAGUGUGGUGGAGGCUGUGCCACUGGAAAGCAAUGGGCUGGAAGCCUCUAUUUGUGUUUGGUUGUGGCAAGGAUGUGAAUGAAGCAAGUUGAAGCUUCAUUCAUUUAUUGUCAGGGUCAGCCUUCCUGCUGUAAUUUCCCUCGAGAAUACUGCUGACAUUGCCUUGGGCUUCUGCUUUGCAGAAGAGGAGUGGAAUGUGUCUUGGAUGUGUCCUUCUUGCUGGUUUCACUCCUCGUGUAGGAUGAUUGGUGUCUGCAGGUAUGCAGGAGCACUGUGGUGUUACUGCUUGUUCUCCUCCUGUAGGAAAUCAACAGCAACUUCAGUAUUGUGUCUAAAUAUAGAUAAUAUAUGUUCAAACAUAUCACCCUAGUCUCCACGAUGAUAGCAGGGAGAGGUGUCGGUACAUCUUAACGUGCUAGAUUGGGGGUAGCUUAAACCAGUGGGUGUGCCAGCAAAAGGUAACUUGGGUUUUUGCCUUGCUCAGACUUUCUCCCACAAAUACCUUGCUUGGCUGCUGCGGUUAUGAGAUACUCCAGACAAAGCCCGGCGCGUGUGAGAUGGGGCAACAACCUUGUAAACUGAAUCUGAGUUUAAUGAUGGAGCAUCUCGGUGUUUUCACCGGUCUGAGUGGUCUUCAGAACGUUGGUGGUACAGAGAUUGGCAUUUGCAAAUCUCGCGUGAUGGUGAACCUGCUGUGCACAAAGACCAUGAAUGACAGGCCACAGGUUACAGGUCACAUAGCAAAGGAGCAGUUUGUGAGCAGUCUGAUCUGAGCAAAGUACCCACACAAAGAAGCUGGUAUUUCGCCGAGGUGAACUGAGUCAAUGCAGCCAUGCCCACCGACAAGGGAGGACACGGCAGCAACCAUGCAGCUUUGAUCCACAGGUUGGAAUAGUGUCAGCUAGAUGCUAGAUGAAGAUGGGCUGUGUAGCUCACAGCCCUGCAGAAGCCUUUAAGUUCUGCCAAACAGACACUAGUUGGUGCCUGCAUCAUCUGAACGAGUGACAUCUGCAAUUAUUGAGGCAAUAGAGGAGCAAGUUGCAGAAACAGCACAUUAGUGUGUGAAUGCCAUCCACAGGGGGACUAGUCCAGGGAGAAGUGGCAACCAAGCUGUCAACAGCCCGGCCAUGGCUGGAUAGGAAUUUGCACACGAGUUUUGGGAAAACAGAGGAUUUCCUCGCUGUUGUUUGUAGUGGGUGUUUAUAGGUGCAAAGUGGAAGAAGAAAUUUCCUCAGCCUGGUCUUGAUUACUGUCUCAUUUUGCAUGUGGCAGGUUUCCUGGCAGCAUCCCUACCAAUGCAGCAGUCAUCGGAAAAGGAGGGUGGCAAAGAGCUGGGAUCCACCCGGAGGCCCCUGCAGCAUGGGUUCAGAACCGGAGCGAACAGGCAGUUCUCUUAUCUGAUGUAGCCUGGAGAGCAGACAGAUAGGACUGCAGCAAUCAGUAUGAUGGGAAUGUGGUGGGUGGACUCUACCAAGAGAAAAGAAACCCUCCCCUCUAUGGAUGAGCCUUCAUCUCUGUUUCCCCUCUCCAGUCCUCAUUCCGGUAAGAGGGAGGAUCUUUUCCCCAUCUAGCAAUGAGAUGAAAGAGUGCCCCCCAUUUGACACUUCAUGAGUUGGCUGAACCUACAAAAUGAUCUUCAUAAAAUCCUGAUUCCAAAGCAUCAAAGCCUUUUCCUGACUGGUAAAAACCCUAAAAAUUCCUGGAAGAACUGCCAAAGGGCAAUGGGGCUGAUUCUGUCAACUGCCUUUGGUUAGAGCUGGGUUUGGUUAUUUAUGGGGGCUGGGGGAGGCAAGAACUUUCCAGAUGGGCGGCUGAACCAAAUAUAACAAUGAUAAAAAUCAAUGCAGUUAUGUGAAGGGAAAAGAAUGCCUGUGCUGAAGGGCUGCUUGAGGCACACGCUUCUCUGUGUGAGACAUCCCUCAGCACCGUGCUGCUUGUGACAUCCCACCCUGUGCUGCUCCAUCCCUGUGUGCUGCACAGGCACCUCCUCCAUGCCUGCUGAAAAGCAGCCUUUGCUGGGAGGAUGCUGGCUGGAUUUAGUGGUGCAAAAUCAUCUGAGUUCUCAAGUCAUCCUGAAGUAUUAAUUCUGAUUGCUGAGAGCCCUGUUGGUGUGUGUGGCAUUGCACAGAGCGAAAACUCUGUCCCUUCUCCAAAGGCGUCGCAGUCUAGGCAUACAUGGCAGGAGAAAGCAUAAGAAAGGCAAAGCAUAUGGGAUUGGGACUGAUUGACCUUUGUAUGCAUCCAAGAAUAGAGGAGGAUUCAGUAAUUCCUUCAAGAAGGAAGCUUGCUUGCCAUCUACUUAGUGAAGAAGCAUGCUGAGUGGUGCAAGUGGGAAAAUGGCUGGGAGUCAGGACUGUGUGGAAGACAUGAAAUAUCUGCUGAGAAAGGAAAUCUGCUGGAGAGGGUUGGAGUUGGUGACUGCAAACUGCCUUUUGGCUGAGAGUGCCAUUGGGUUUCCUAUGUUAGUGAAGUUUGGGAUGCCUGCAUGGGCUGUUAAUUAUCCAGUCCAUUAUCAGCACUUUCUUUGUGUGAUCUUUGUUUUUGGAGGUGUCCCCUCGUGGAAACCCCUCAGUACUGUCAUGGAAAGGAUAUGUAAGAAAUUGUCCCUUGGGCAAUGCUUUCUUUCUACUGGGUCCUUUUCUACUUCUUUCACUCUGGUAUUUGCACUCUCAGCCUCACCUGCUGACCAAUAUGCAUUUAUACUGUUGAAAGGGUGGUGAGGCUUAGCCUGCUGAGGUUGCUGUCCAUCAUUGCAGUGAAUUCCAGCUCUCUAGGUGGUGUUCUACAUCAGUCUGUGGUCCCAUCAGUUGCCCUUCACCAGCCGGCUGUCUUGUGGGAGCCCAGCCCUGACCACAGCCAUCAGUCAAGGAAGGUGCUGGCUCCUCUCCCUGCUCCUCAACCAGGGUUGGACCCUCCCUGCAGCAAGAGAUGCCUGGGAUGAGAAGCAUUCAUCAGAGCUCUAGGGUUUCGUUUCCUUUAAACUGACAACUUUUGGAAUCAGACAAGAUGCGUCUCUGCUGCUUGACAAGGUUCAUAUGCAGAAUAAUCUUCAACGUGGAAGCUGAAACCCUGUCCUGGGGUAGCACGUCCAUGGGAGAAGGUCACAUACAACUGACAAUGCUGAGCUAGAUCCAGGCCAGCGCUUUGACUCCGCUGGUGACCUUGCGGGGGACAUGGAACCACUGGCUGUCACAGCGCCAGAGGGAGCAGAGAAUGCAACAGCAUCGUCAGUCAAGGUGGAAGGAGGGGACAAAGCAGCAGCAAGAGGGGAGGUGGAAAGCCCAAAGGGAGCAGGUCCCGGUGGAACAGGUCCUCAAGGAGCAGCGGCAAUUGUGGCGGAAACAUGGGAAUACCCAGAGGCAGAAGUUGCUGCAGCAUGUGCCCGGGCAGCAGAAAGGAUUGCAGCGUCACAAGCAGCCAAGGUGUUGCAAUCAGCAAUAGCUGAGCUCAAAGAGAAGAGGAGCAGCACGUGGCUAAAGCCAAAGAACACCACUCAGCAGCAGGAGGAGGACUGGGUGGAAGAGGGAAAGGUGAAAUGAAAUGAAGGAGAGCUGGUGUUCUGGACCAUACCUGAUGGGGAGCAGGUACCCUGGCACCAUGACAGCUCCUCAAGUGCAAUAGGGCUGCUGGUUACAUCUCUUUUGUGACUGCCCAUGCUAUUAAAAAUAAAGAUAUGCCAUAUUCCACACCCAGUUCAAGGUCUUUCUAAGGCCCUUGUCUCCUGGUUUUAUGAAAUGGCAGCUCUACACCUCUUCCCCAAAGAUAACCUAGAGUAAAGUGUGCUGUUCAUGCUGGAAAACAAGCUCUUGGUAUGAAACUAUAGAAAAAAGAUGCUGUAAAUGUGGGGUCAGGUUUGUGUGCCUGUAGGCCAAGAGAUGGUUGUGGGAGCACAGCUAAUGUCAAUUGGUUUCGCAUCCCAGCAGGGCAGGUGCAGGCUCCAGUCUGCUUGCUCCAGCUCUGAUGGGUGUUUCUUGCCUACAUGGGAAUGGUGGGUUAUCAUCUCUUUUUUUCUUAUUUAUUUUCUAAUUCUGCUUAUUCAUCUGGAGCAGGGAAUGGGGAAGGUCGCUCCAUCCACACUGAUAAUGGUAAAGUCAUGCAGAAGAAAAUGAGGAAAUGGGAAACAGCAUCUCCAGAACACAGCGGUGGACUUGCCAGCAUGAAUGACAUUCCCCAGGCAGUGCAGGAUGAUCUGUGAAAGAUACCCCUGUUUUUUGAGAGGAAAACCAUUAUUUGUUGUUUUUUCAGCCUCUGAGGUGUAGGGCUGCAGCUUGAACCCACUGGCUUGGAGGCUUCAGAGGCUGACCCCAGGAGGGGCCCUGGACACCCACAUUCUGGCUCCAUGCUCAGUCACCAAAACUCCAUCCUUCCCCAUUGGAGUCUCAUGGGAUGUGCUGGUAUCAUGGAGAGCAGCACGGCGAUGCCUGCCUGCGCUGAGCAGCCCUGUAAGUAGCACAACCCCCUGUGCUCAAGCUGGCCACCAUCUCUGCUGGGAUUUUAACCCCAGCUUGCAGACAGAACAGCAGUCUGAUCAUUUGAGCACACCAUUACGCAGCCCUGGGUUGAUAAGGGUGGUUCAGUUCCAGCAUCUGCAGCAUGGAAACUUCUUUCCCCCCAGUUUCUCUGUUGCGAUUCCCUCACCCAGCACACCCUUGAGCUUGAACAAGGUCAUUUCUCUGUACCACUUCCAGCCAGGCAGCACAGCACCACUGCAGGUCCUUCCCCACACCACAGCCCCAUGGUGGGAGGACGUUUCCCACGUGUUCAGGGUGACAGUGGGAGCAGGUUUUGUGCAUUGGCAAGAGUAAUCUGCGGCUGUGGGACCAUGUUCUGCCACGAGCCCACGUCUCCUGAGCAGUGAUUGCACAGCCCUUUGAGGUCCUCUGUUCCCAGCUGCAAGAUGGAGAUACCCUUCUUAACCCACACCAUCACUUUGGUUCACUGCAGCUUGCGAAGUGCUUCUGGAUCAACAGAUGGGAGGCACCAGAGAAGUGACAAAGAUGAUUAAUAGCAAGGUUAUUAACCAACGUCAUGGGUCAAAUCUGCAUCGGUUCCCAAGUUUGUGCUUGAUACAGAGGUCAGUGUCAUGGGUGACUCCCCGUGGGGCUGGGAGCUGGACUUGACACUUGGCUGUAGGGCCAGGAUAGGCAAAAAUCAGGUUAAGCAGAUUUGGCCUGCACCUGAUAAGAAUGUUUCUGAGGGAAUAAGGUGUUUCCCAUGAUGUUGCUGGAGUAUGAACCCCUCUCCCAGGUGAGCUGUCAGUGGUCCCACACUGGUGCAGUUGCUUUGCAAGCUGCUUGGUUGAAACUUCUGUGAUUUGAAGGGCUGUGGACGCACUUAAGAGAUCUCUGGUCUCGGGCAGGCAGCAAAGUGUGCACUUGUGUGGGGGAAAGUGCUGCUCUGCUGAAGCAUGGUUUCCAUUUAAGCACUCGGAGGGCUCCUAGCCCUGGCCUGCUUGUGUUUAUCUGUGCCAAGUGUGAAUGGGAAUUGGAAAAUGGGGAGGAGAGAAUGGCUGCUUUUUAAAAAGCUAAUUUAAAAGCAGGCGCAGCCUUCUGUAAAGAUGAUUCUGAUUGUCCAGAGCUCUUUUAAAGGGACAAGGUUAAAUGCGUUUGUAUUGAGAAUGUGGGAUUAGACACGCGCCCAAAAUGAACAACAGCAUCUUUAUUUAUUUCAUACUUAAAUGGCCAGGAGUGUAAGUCAGUCGGUUCCUGAUGAUCCAGGAAUGCA